UGAUGCUCAGUCAUCUCAAUUACUGUUACAUACUGUGCACAAAGCUUUUUCCAUUGAAAAAUUCAAAUGCAGAGGAAUGGCUAGCAGCAAA